rnacentral:rRNA from 1 species
AUUGAACGCUGGCGGCAUGCCUUACACAUGCAAGUCGAACGGUAACAGGUCUUCGGAUGCUGACGAGUGGUGAACGGGUGAGUAAUACAUCGGAACGUGCCCAGACGUGGGGGAUAACGAGGCGAAAGCUUUGCUAAUACCGCAUACGAUCUAAGGAUGAAAGCAGGGGACCGCAAGGCCUUGUGCGUUUGGAGCGGCCGAUGGCAGAUUAGGUAGUUGGUGGGAUAAAAGCUUACCAAGCCGACGAUCUGUAGCUGGUCUGAGAGGACGACCAGCCACACUGGGACUGAGACAUGGCCCAGACUCCUACGGGAGGCAGCAGUGGGGAAUUUUGGACAAUGGGCGAAAGCCUGAUCCAGCAAUGCCGCGUGCAGGAUGAAGGCCUUCGGGUUGUAAACUGCUUUUGUACGGAACGAAAAGGCUCUGGCUAAUACCUGGGGCACAUGACGGUACCGUAAGAAUAAGCACCGGCUAACUACGUG